rnacentral:rRNA from 1 species
UACAGAGGGUGCGAGCGUUGUUCGGAAUUACUGGGCGUAAAGCGCGCGCAGGCGGCCUUUUAAGUCUGACGGUGAAAUGCCGGGGCUCAACCCCGUGCCCGCCGGAGAUACUGGGAGGCUGGAGACAUGUAGAGGCAAGCGGAAUUCCGGGUGUAGCGGUGGAAUGCGUAGAGAUCCGGAAGAACACCGGUGGCGAAGGCGGCCUGCUGGGCAGUAGCUGACACUGAGGCGCGACAGCGUGGGGAGCAAACAGG